rnacentral:rRNA from 1 species
CCCUUUGUUGUUAAAACUACCUUGUUGCUUUGGCGGGACCGCUCGGUCUCGAGCCGCUGGGGAUUCGUCCCAGGCGAGCGCCCGCCAGAGUUAAACCAAACUCUUGUUAUUUAACCGGUCGUCUGAGUUAAAAUUUUGAAUAAAUCAAAACUUUCAACAACGGAUCUCUUGGUUCUCGCAUCGAUGAAGAACGCAGCGAAAUGCGAUAAGUAAUGUGAAUUGCAGAAUUCAGUGAAUCAUCGAAUCUUUGAACGCACAUUGCGCCCCUUGGUAUUCCGAGGGGCAUGCCUGUUCGAGCGUCAUUACACCACUCAAGCUAUGCUUGGUAUUGGGUGCCGUCCUUAGUUGGGCGCGCCUUAAAGACCUCGGCGAGGCCUCACCGGCUUUAGGCGUAGUAGAAUUUAUUCGAACGUCUGUCAAAGGAGAGGACUUCUGCCGACUGAAACCUUUUAUUUUUCUAGGUUGACCUCGGAUCAGGUAGGGAUACCCGCUGAACUUAAGCAUAUCAAUAAGCGGAGGAAAAGAAACCAACAGGGAUUGCCCUAGUAACGGCGAGUGAAGCGGCAACAGCUCAAAUUUGAAAGCUGGCCUUCGGGUCCGCAUUGUAAUUUGUAGAGGAUGCUUUGGGUGAAACGCCAGUCUAAGUUCCUUGGAACAGGACGUCAUAGAGGGUGAGAAUCCCGUAUGUGACUGGAAAUGUUAACCUAUGUAAAGCUCCUUCGAC